GGGGUUGUGGCCCAGUGGUAGUGUGCUCACCUAGCACAUGUGAGGCCCUGGGUUCAAUCCUCAGCAUCACCU
rfam:Ictidomys tridecemlineatus contig111785, whole genome shotgun sequence.